rnacentral:rRNA from 1 species
AGCAGCCGCGGUAAUACGUAGGGUGCAAGCGUUAAUCGGAAUUACUGGGCGUAAAGCGUGCGCAGGCGGUUAGGUAAGACAGAUGUGAAAUUCCCGGGCUCAACCUGGGAACUGCAUUUGUGACUGCCUGACUAGAGUGCGGCAGAGGGGAGUGGAAUUCCGCGUGUAGCAGUGAAAUGCGUAGAUAUGCGGAGGAACACCGAUGGCGAAGGCAACUCCCUGGGCCUGCACUGACGCUCAUGCACGAAAGCGUGGGGAGCAAGCAGGAUUAGAUACCCUGGUAGUCCACGCCCUAAACGAUGUCGACUAGUUGUUGGACGGGUUACUGUUCAGUAACGUAGCUAACGCGUGAAGUCGACCGCCUGGGGAGUACGGCCGCAAGGUUAAAACUCAAAGGAAUUGACGGGGACCCGCACAAGCGGUGGAUGAUGUGGUUUAAUUCGAUGCAACGCGAAAAACCUUACCUACCCUUGACAUGCCAGGAACUUACCAGAGAUGGUUUGGUGCUCGAAAGAGAGCCUGGACACAGGUGCUGCAUGGCUGUCGUCAGCUCGUGUCGUGAGAUGUUGGGUUAAGUCCCGCAACGAGCGCAACCCUUGUCAUUAGUUGCUACGCAAGAGCACUCUAAUGAGACCGCCGGUGACAAACCGGAGGAAGGUGGGGAUGACGUCAAGUCCUCAUGGCCCUUAUGGGUAGGGCUACACACGUCAUACAAUGGGCGGUACAGAGGGUUGCCAACCCGCGAGGGGGAGCCAAUCCCUUAAAACCGCUCGUAGUCCGGAUUGUAGUCUGCAACUCGACUGCAUGAAGUCGGAAUCGCUAGUAAUCGCGGAUUAGCUUGCCGCGGUGAAUACGUUCCCGGGUCUUGUACACACCGCCCGUCACACCAUGGAAGUGGGGUUUACCAGAAGUAGUUAGCUUAACCGCAAGGGGGGCGAUUACCACGGUAGGCUUCAUGACUGGGGUGAAGUCGUAACAAGGUAGCC